AUUCUUGUAGAUAAUAGAUGUCUGCAUGCUGCAACUUGAUUCUUGUAGUUAACUAGAAAUAAAAUCAUUAAGUUCAAUGAAAGAUAUAGAUAAUAAUAGAUGUCUAACCUCAGGAAGCCUGACAGAAAGGUGUCUUAUAUAAGCAAUGUCCGCUUUCUUUAGUUGGAACCUAGAAGUUUAUUGACACAAAUCCAAAAUUCUUAGAACUUUGAACCUAACAAUGAUCUUAUAGCCUAAAAAUUCAGAACCAUCAUAUCAAAAUCAAAAAGCAGAGUAUGCUUUAUCAAAUAGAAAAUCAAAGAAAAGGAAGCUCACCCAAUGAAGUUAGAUAUCAGAAAGCUUUAUCAAAUAGUGGAUACCAUACAGAAUUACAACAAAUGACAUUUGACCUUCACCACAUUAAACUAAUUCUUUGAAAGCUAUAAGACAAGCUUGUAACUCUUUUUAAAAAAAAUUACAGCCAAGGAACCNNNNNNNCACUUAGUGUUCAAACUUGAAUGAAGCAUAACUAAUAACACUAAUAAGAAAAGAAGCUACUCAUGAGUCAUGUCUACGGGAGUAAUAUUCAGAAGUUUCAGAAUUAAAAAUAAGCAUGAUAAACAAAAAAAAUUAUGAGCUACAUACACUUGAGUACAUGGUUACUUACACAAUAUGAGUGAUAACAGUUCGACACAUCAAAUACGCUUCAAGACCAUCAAACAGCUGAAUGACUACGAUAAAAUGGAGCACCGUCAAAUUGUUUGAGUUACAUAAACUUUGGAAGGUAAGUGUGAGAACUUGAGGGGAAGGGGGCACUGUCUUGCUUUAUUUUCCCUCUACCAUUUUCCAAACCAGGCCAACAACUUUCUCAUCUUACCAAGAAGUCCCUGAAAAAUUAAAGAAAAAU
rnacentral:lncRNA from 1 species